rnacentral:sRNA from 1 species
AUUAUCCACACAUUUAUCACCACCAAAUAAUUAUCAUUAUUAGUACAAUAGCAUUAUUAUUAACUAAUAUAUUUAUUCCUUCUUAAAUUUUGGGCUGAAGUCAUAAACUUCAAAAUAUAACUCUCAGAAAAAUAAUUGUCUACUGUAAAGAUGAGUUUUCCAAAAUAACAAGCUCUAAGGUACUUGUUUAAAAAAAGAUAUAAAGAGACGAGAGCUGCCACUUGUUAUUCAAUAGCCCGCUAAGCAAGUCAUCUGAGCAACAGUUCAGACACUAACCCAAGGGGAGAAAAAGCCCUGCCUCCAGCCCACCUAGCACGUGGCACCCCUUUUAGUGUCAUCGAUCAGCACACAUCUGUAUGGUAAAAAAUGUCAUUUAUCCUCAGACAGUGAUGUGCAUCAUCUCUAUGUGAUCUGAAGUUUCAACACAAAAUGUGGCCCUUAUAGCUGUUACCUAAAAGCGUAUCCUAUAUGUUGAGACUCAACUAUAACUUAAAUUUUAUUGUGAGUUCCACAGCUAUAUAUUUGUUUGGGAGAAAAAAGGUGAUCAAUUCUACUAAUGUCCCUUAAUUCCAAGGGAGUAUGAGAUUGAAAUUUAGUAUCAGAAGCCCAAGGCUAAGAAUACAGAAAUAAGAAAGCCUUGAGAAGAUUUAUCUUGGCUGUAUAGAAACAGCACAUCGUGUGCGUAACUAAGAGAAGCAGCUAGCUGAUAUAGUCUUCAAGGAGGGGAGUAAACACCACAUGGAGAAGUGAGCUAGCUUUCGUCAAAAGCUCAUGUGGUGCCAAAAAUAGAAAACAUGUGUAUCCACAAGAGGAGUCCCAUGCCUGCAGAGUGGGAAAGGACAAAGUCGGCGACAGUGGACUUAUUGUGGACUUUGGUUCCUAUAGAGCAUCUAAGAAUCAAAUAGAAGGAAACUCUACACAAGCCAUGAUCAUCCCAGCCCUCAACUGAAGACUGAGAAAAUAACAAAUUAGUUUACUGCUAUACAAACAUCUGGGAACUUGACAGGACUGAUCAAUAAUUACAAAGGUAAAAUAGCAGGAGAAUAUACACUAUUCUACUGAUUGCCCUCUUCUACAUAAAUCAGAACAUUAUACUUGCUACAACGUUUCCUGCCAGGGUCAAAAUGAGUCUUCAGGCAAUAAAUUUUGGAGUAGCAAUAGAUAUACUACUUUUCAAAAAUGUUUAUUGUCCAUUGGCCUGUUAGAGAGAUUGUGGUUUAACCUUUUUUAAAAUGGAAAAAAAAGACUGACUUUCAAAAUGCUGAUAUGAUCACACAAGCUUACACAGUUGUUGGUGAACCUUAAGCUAGGGAAAGAAGUGAUGUAACAACCAAAAGAUGUAGGUUCCCAGAGACCUGUGCAGCAUUGUGCAAUGCUUACAUCUGAUGAAGAAGUGCCUUUCACCCUCACGCCAGUUGUUUAAGACAUUUCUGUAUAAAACAGAUUUAUACCAUCCAUUUUCAUUAAUUUCCUGUUUCUCUGUCUAUUCACUAAGCAAGCAUUUAGAGGUCUCAGCCAUCAAUGGUGAGUGUUACGAAUUGACCUAGGAAGUGAGGACUCCUCUGGGAGCAAUUUGAUUAGUUAAUACUGGUUUCCAGCCCCCUGUGUGAGUCCUUAUAACUGUUCACAUUCAGGAAUGAAUUACUUGACCUUAACUUUCUCCAUAGGGGUGCAUGUCUAAUUUUCCACACAAAUUUUCAAAUGGAAUUACAGAAACACUUCACUAUUUAAAGCUCAACUAUUUACAAACUGUUGGAACACAAAGUAUCUUUACAGGCAAAGUAAUGCCAUAAAAUUCCAUGAGCUGUCCCUAUCGGUGAGCUGCUAACUAUAUAAAGCAAUUGCUCCUUGCUUUAAAAACAGUCCUUGUCACUAUACCAAUACUGUUUGAGCCAAGUGGGCAAUAAGUGAAAUGUAUCACAAAUUAGAAAGAGAUAUUAAAAGAGAAAAUGCACAGAGAAAAGUGUGAAAAUUACCAAUUAAAAAUAUUUUAUUUGGUUGGAGAUUUAGCUCAUUGGUAGAGCGCUUGCCUAGCAAGCGCAAGGCCCUGGGUUCGGUCCCCAGUUCUGAAAAAAAGAAAAAAGAAAAAAAUAUUUUAUUUGCAGGAUAAAUGAUCCUUAGUCCUCUGGUCCAUAUGGGCAUCACAUAAAAGUGUAAAA